rfam:Aedes aegypti strain Liverpool supercont1.270 genomic scaffold, whole genome shotgun sequence.
GGCUCGGUAGCUUAAUUGGUAAAGCGCUCGUCUAGCAUACAACAGUCCUGGGGUUCAAAUCCCAGCCGAGCAC